rnacentral:tRNA from 1 species
CGGGGUGUAGCGCAGCUUGGUAGNNUUGGUAGCGCAUCCGCUUUGGGAGCGGAAGGCCGCAGGUUCAAAUCCUGUCACCCCGA